GUGGGGAAUAUUGGACAAUGGGGGGAACCCUGAUCCAGCCAUGCCGCGUGUGUGAAGAAGGCCUUUUGGUUGUAAAGCACUUUAAGCGAGGAGGAGGCUACCGAGAUUAAUACUCUUGGAUAGUGGACGUUACUCGCAGAAUAAGCACCGGCUAACUCUGUGCCAGCAGCCGCGGUAAUACAGAGGGUGCAAGCGUUAAUCGGAUUUACUGGGCGUAAAGCGCGAGUUGGUGGCCAAUUAAGUCAAAUGUGAAAUCCCCGAGCUUAACUUGGGAAUUGCAUUCGAUACUGGUUGGCUAGAGUAUGGGAGAGGAUGGUAGAAUUCCAGGUGUAGCGGUGAAAUGCGUAGAGAUCUGGAGGAAUACCGAUGGCGAAGGCAGCCAUCUGGCCUAAUACUGACACUGAGGUGCGAAAGCAUGGGGAGCAAACAGGAUUAGAUACCCUUGUAGUCC
rnacentral:rRNA from 1 species